GACGAACGCUGGCGGCGUGCUUAACACAUGCAAGUCGAACGGAAAGGCCCUGCUUGCAGGGUACUCGAGUGGCGAACGGGUGAGUAACACGUGGGUGAUCUGCCCUGCACUUCGGGAUAAGCCUGGGAAACUGGGUCUAAUACCGGAUAGGAGCCAUUUUUAGUGUGAUGGUUGGAAAGUUUUUUUCGGUGUAGGAUGAGCUCGCGGCCUAUCAGCUUGUUGGUGGGGUAAUGGCCUACCAAGGCGGCGACGGGUAGCCGGCCUGAGAGGGUGGACGGCCACAUUGGGACUGAGAUACGGCCCAGACUCCUACGGGAGGCAGCAGUGGGGAAUAUUGCACAAUGGGCGCAAGCCUGAUACAGCGACGCCGCGUGGGGGAUGACGGCCUUCGGGUUGUAAACUCCUUUCGCUAGGGACGAAGCUUUUUGUGACGGUACCUAGAUAAGAAGCACCGGCUAACUACGUG
rnacentral:rRNA from 1 species